rnacentral:rRNA from 1 species
GGUUAAGCUAUUAAGGGCGCACGGAGGAUGCCUAGGCGCCAGGAGCCUAAGAAGGACGCGGCGAACAGCGAAAUUGCCUCGGGGAGCCGUAAGCAGGCUUUGAUCCGGGGAUGUCCGAAUGGGGAAACCCGGCUGGGGUCAUGCCCAGUCACCUAUGAGUGAAUCCAUAGCUCAUAAGGAGGCACACCCAGGGAACUGAAACAUCUAAGUACCUGGAGGAGAAGAAAACAAGAGUGAUUCCGUCAGUAGCGGCGAGCGAAAGCGGAUUAGCCCAAACCUGAGAGCUUGCUCUCAGGGGUUGUGGGACGUCUCACAUGGAGUUACAAAGGGAUAGGUUAGGCGAAGAGAUCUGGAAAGGUCCGGCAUAGAAGGUAAAAGCCCUGUAGCCGAAAGUCUAUCCCCUCCGAGACGGAUCCCGAGUACCGCGGGACACGAGAAACCCCGUGGGAAUCCGGCAGGACCAUCUGCCAAGGCUAAAUACUCCCUGGCGACCGAUAGUGAAGCAGUACCGUGAGGGAAAGGUGAAAAGCACCGCGGGAGCGGAGUGAAAAAGAACCUGAAACCGUGCGCUUACAAGAAGUCAGAGCCCGAUCUAGGGGUGAUGGCGUGCCUUUUGUAGAAUGAACCGGCGAGUUACGUUUACGUGCGAGGUUAAGUCGGAGAGACGGAGCCGCAGCGAAAGCGAGUCUGAAUAGGGCGCUUUAGUACGUAGUCGUAGACCCGAAACCGGGUGAUCUACCCCUGUGCAGGGUGAAGGUGAGGUAACACUUACUGGAGGCCCGAACUCGUGAGCGUUGAAAAGCUCUGGGAUGACGUGGGGGUAGGGGAGAAAUUCCAAUCGAACUCGGAGAUAGCUGGUUCUCCCCGAAAUAGCUUUAGGGCUAGCCUCGAGAUUUAGCAUCAUGGAGGUAGAGCACUGAUUGGGUGCGGGGCCCGCCAAGGGUUACCAAGUCCAGUCAAACUCCGAAUGCCAUGGAUGUAUGCUCGGGAGUCAGACGGCGAGUGCUAAGAUCCGUCGUCAAGAGGGAAAGAGCCCAGAUCAUCAGCUAAGGUCCCCAAGUGUGUGUUAAGUGGGAAAGGAUGUGGAGUUGCGAAGACAACCAGGAUGUUGGCUUAGAAGCAGCCACCAUUUAAAGAGUGCGUAAUAGCUCACUGGUCGAGUGACUCUGCGCCGAAAAUGUAACGGGGCUAAACACACCACCGAAGCUAUGGCAUGUCGUAGUCUUCACUUUGUUCUGGUGGAAGACCGGGACAUUUCGUCAAAAAAAACCCCAAAGGUGGUUUAGGGGUAUCAAAAAAAACGCCCCGAAAAAAAAAACCAAAAAAAGAAAAGAAAAAAAAGGGCACUUGGGUAGGGGAGCGUUGAAUGCGGGUUGAAGUCGGACCGAGAGGACCGGUGGACUGCAUUCAAGUGAGAAUGCCGGUAUGAGUAACGAAAAGACAGGUGAGAAUCCUGUCCGCCGAAAGCCUAAGGGUUCCUGAGGAAGGUUCGUCCGCUCAGGGUAAGUCGGGACCUAAGGCGAGGCCGAAAGGCGUAGUCGAAGGACAACAGGUUGAAAUUCCUGUACCACCGUAAUCCGUUACGAGCGAUGGGGGGGACGCAGGAGGGCAAGAACGCGAGCUGAUGGAAUAGCUCGUCCAAGCAGUGAGGGGUGUGUGUAGGCAAAUCCGCACACUAAUACCUUGAGCUGUGAUGGGGAGGGAAAAUUACAGUACCGAAGGUUCCGUGCUCACGCUGCCGAGAAAAGCCUCUAGCCAGGAGAAGGUGCCCGUACCGCAAACCGACACAGGUAGGCGAGAAGAGAAUUCUAAGGCGCGCGGAAGAACUCUCGUUAAGGAACUCGGCAAAAUGACCCCGUAACUUCGGGAGAAGGGGUGCCUCGGUAGGGUGAAUAGCCCGAGGGGGCCGCAGUGAAUAGGCCCAAGCGACUGUUUAGCAAAAACACAGGUCUGUGCGAAGCCGUAAGGCGAAGUAUACGGGCUGACGCCUGCCCGGUGCUGGAAGGUUAAGGGGAGCGGUUAGGGGCAACCCGAAGCUGUGAACCGAAGCCCCAGUAAACGGCGGCCGUAACUAUAACGGUCCUAAGGUAGCGAAAUUCCUUGUCAGGUAAAUUCUGACCCGCACGAAUGGCGUAACGACUUGGGCGCUGUCUCAACGAGAGAUCCGGUGAAAUUUUAGUACCUGUGAAGAUGCAGGUUACCCGCGACGUGACGGAAAGACCCCAUGGAGCUUUACUGUAGCUUGAUAUUGAACUUGGGUACGGUCUGUACAGGAUAGGUGGGAGCCUAGGAAGCCUGAGCGCAAGCUUAGGUGGAGGCGCCGUUGGGAUACCGCCCUGAUCGUAUCUAGGUUCUAACCUGUCACCGUGAAUCCGGUGAAGGGACCGUGUCAGGCGGACAGUUUACUGGGGCGGUCGCCUCCUAAAGCGUAGCGGAGGCGCCCAAGGUUCCCUCAGAAUGGUUGGAAAUCAUUCGAAGAGUGCAAAGGCAUAAGGGAGCUUGACUGCGAGACCUACAAGU